CCUACGUGGGGCAGCAGUGAGGAAUAUUGGUCAAUGGGCGCGAGCCUGAACCAGCCAAGUCGCGUGAAGGAUGACUGCCCUACGGGUUGUAAACUUCUUUUAUAAAGGAAUAAAGUGAGGCACGUGUGCCCUUUUGUAUGUACUUUAUGAAUAAGGAUCGGCUAACUCCGUGCCAGCAGCCGCGGUAAUACGGAGGAGCCGAGCGUUAUCCGGAUUUAUUGGGUUUAAAGGGAGCGUAGAUGGGUUGUUAAGUCAGUUGUGAAAGUUUGCGGCUCAACCGUAAAAUUGCAAUUGAUACUGGCAGUCUUGAGUACAGUAGAGGUAGGCGGAAUUCGAGGUGUAGCGGUGAAAUGCUUAGAUAUCACGAAGAACUCCGAUUGCGAAGGCAGCUUACUAGACUGCCACUGACAUUGAUGCUCGAAAGUGUGGGUAUCAAACAGGAUUAGAUACCCGAGUAGUC
rnacentral:rRNA from 1 species